GGUCAGGUAGCUCAGUUGGUAGAGCAACGGACUGAAAAUCCGUGUGUCGCCGGUUCGAUCCCGGCCCUGACCACCU
rnacentral:tRNA from 1 species